rnacentral:lncRNA from 1 species
CUUGGCAAUCACAUCAGGAAGUAACAUUUACUGACCGCUUAUGACAUGCUCUUCCUGCUCCAAACACUGCGCACGAUUGUGUCCUAUAACCCUGCAGUGACCCUCAGGCUUAGGAACUUUCAUUUCCCCAUUUUAUAGCUGAGGAGCCUAUGGCUCAGGGCAGUGAGCACACGCCCCCAGGGCCACCACGCAGACUGCGAUGGGCAUAGGUGGUCUUGCUCAGCCUGUCUCCUGCGCCACCUCUGCAGACGCACGAGUUGUCCUUGAAAAGUCCCCGGAAGCAUGGCAGAUCUGGGGUGAGGCCCGAGACUCUGCAUUUCUGGUGAUGUCGAUGUUGCCAGUCUGGAGCACACUCAAGCAGCAAGGCUGUGCAGACUUCCUCCCCAGCACGUCUGGAAUUAUGUCAACCCUGCCUAUCGACGUGGGCUUGCACGCCUUCCUCAGGACCAAGCGUGAGCAGGAGAAACCUAUUCAGCUUGAGUCCCUCUUCCGAGCUCAGCAUUAAGUCCCGUGGCUAUGAGUCUUACCCACUGAUGGCAGGCAUCCUGGAAAUUGGAAACUCCUCUCACGUCCAAACCCCUGGUUGUAUAAUCCAACUUUCUAUUCCCAGAUGGCAUCAUCUGCCCAAACUAGUAUCCGUAGAACACUGGGAAGCAAAUAUAAAGCUCAUCCUUGUUUAAAUUUACUGGGAAUACUGAACUGAGCAAAUUUGAAAUUUUAAUAGGUUUCUUUACCG